AAAUGCGAUAAGUAAUGUGCAUUGCAGAAUUCAGUGAAUCAUCGAAUCUUUGAACGCACAUUGCGCCCCCUGGUAUUCCGGGGGGCAUGCCUGUUCGAGCGUCAUUUCACCACUCAAGCCUCGCUUGGUAUUGGGCGACGCGGUCCGCCGCGCGCCUCAAAUCGACCGGCUGGGUCUUCUGUCCCCUAAGCGUUGUGGAAACUAUUCGCUAAAGGGUGCCACGGGAGGUCACGCCGUAAAACAAGCCCAUUUCUAAGGUUGACCUCGGAUCAGGUAGGGAUACCCGCUGAACUUAAGC
rnacentral:misc_RNA from 1 species